UAAUACGGAGGGGGCAAGCGUUGUUCGGAAUUAUUGGGCGUAAAGCGUAUGUAGGCGGUUAAGUAAGUCAGGCGUGCAAGCCCGUGGCUCAACCACGGAAUUGCGUUUGAAACUAUUUAGCUUGAGUACAGGAGAGGAAAGUGGAAUUCCCAGUGUAGCGGUGAAAUGCAUUAAUAUUGGGAAGAACAUCUGUGGCGAAGGCGGCUUUCUGGUCUGUUACUGACGCUGAGAUACGAAAGCCAGGGUAGCGAACGGGAUUAGAUACCCCGGUAGUCCUGGCUGUAAACGAUGGGCACUAGGUGCAGGAGGUAUCGAUCCCCUCUGUGCCGUAGCUAACGCGUUAAGUGCCCCGCCUGGGGAGUACGGUCGCAAGGCUG
rnacentral:rRNA from 1 species